rnacentral:rRNA from 1 species
GACGAACGCUGGCGGCGUGCUUAACACAUGCAAGUCGAACGGAAAGGCCCAGCUUGCUGGGUGCUCGAGUGGCGAACGGGUGAGUAACACGUGGGUGAUCUGCCCCUAACUUCGGGAUAAGCUUGGGAAACUGGGUCUAAUACCGGAUAGGACAAUCGUUUAGUGUCGGUUGUGGAAAGUUUUUUCGGUUAGGGAUGAGCCCGCGGCCUAUCAGCUUGUUGGUGGGGUAAUGGCCUACCAAGGCGUCGACGGGUAGCCGGCUUGAGAGGGUGGACGGCCACAUUGGGACUGAGAUACGGCCCAGACUCCUACGGGAGGCAGCAGUGGGGAAUAUUGCACAAUGGGCGCAAGCCUGAUGCAGCGACGCCGCGUGGGGGAUGACGGCCUUCGGGUUGUAAACCUCUUUCGACAGGGACGAAGCUUUGGUGACGGUACCUGUAUAAGAAGCACCGGCUAACUACGUG